UAUUCGCCUUUGCGGCUGAAAUUAGGGUUUCAGAAACUAUAGUUUGUUAUUCCUUACAUUUAUCUUAUUCAAUUUCGAUUUCAUACUAUGCUUCUCUAUCUGGUUGGUGCGGAUCUAUUCAAUUCCCAUUCAACUCGUUCCCUUGAAGCGAAAUUGAUGUGUGUUGUUCUUUUAUACUAUCUCCCUGCAACUCCUCCAUGUUGAUUUGGGAGAAUAAUGGAGCAGCUAAAUUUAUUUCAAAUUUUCAAAGACAUAUUUCAUUUAUUUAUUACCGUUUUCUCAUUGAUUGUGUUACUGGGAGUGUCAUAUUUUCAACUGUGAUGAGCCUACAGACCUGUAAUGAUUUGCGGCCAUGAUCGCAAACAUUUUUGAACAUCUAAGGGACUGAGUUUAUUGAUGCCACCCCCAGUUUUAUAAUGUUCUUUUUUAUUGAUUUUACUUUCAAAUUUUUUCUACUAUAUUUGAGGUUUUUUGAAUAUUUGUUUUAAAUUGGUUAAUUGUUUGAUAGAAGGCUUGAAUAUUCAUGAGGUUUUGCUUGCACUUAUAUAAAUGUGUAUGGUAAAGUUUUGAUUGAAGCCCACAAAUUUGUUCCCCUCGCUAUCCAAUGUUGCAAUUUGUGUGCGAUAUUAGGACGUCGGGGUACUAAAUAUUUCUUAUUUAUUCAUACUAUUAUUUUCUAGUAUUGUUCUUUGGUAGAUAGGGAUGAUGCAAAAUAUAUAAUCCAACACUUGAUCUGAGAUUAUUUAGUGAAGUUAAAUUGAUUUAUAUGCUUCUGAAUCUACCUUCUUCAAUGUUUCUAUCUUCAAAUGAAUAGUGUGAUUAUUUGAGUUUCUGAUAUUUUUCGAUUUUUAAUUCUCUUUAUUUGUCACCGUUCUUUGUUUGUUUCUAAUCAGAUGAUGAAAUUGGAAAAAUCUUAGGACACCUUCCUACACAGCAAUUAUGCUGUGGAUGAGAAUAAAUUUUCCAUUCUGAUGAUGUG